CACACUAUAAGAUUACCUCAAUGACUCGUUCUUUUCUUCCUUGUAUAUUUUCUUGCCAUUUUUAGAGGUGUUAAAUCUUUGACUCUACAAGAUAAGUAUGAAUACAUUAGGUAUUAGUUUGUUUGCUAAGCAUGCGUGAAUAUGAUACAUUCAUAAAUUGGUAUGAAUGCAACAGAACUGCUGUUAGAAUAUGAACCAGAUCUGCUGAAACAUUGAGAAGAAGAGACGUCACAAAUGUUCAAGCUAUUAAAGUUUUGGUAAUAGCCAAAAUGAAAACGUAUUGGUUGAAACUUAAACCUUGCUCUGACCAAAUAUGUCGUAUCUUCGACAAAAAAACAAAACAAAUUAUAUAUAUUAAAUAAAAGCAAAGUAGUUUCAUAACGAAUAUGUAAAACGUGCUUUUAUAUUCCUUGUAACCAAAAAUUUGUCGUUCUUCAGUUCUAUCUAAUUUUCAUUUUCCGAGCAUAAUUAAAAAUCUAUUAAGUGUGUGGAACUCGUUGAACCACAUACUGUAUGGACCUGGCACACCGACAAGUCUGUACGUGCACGGGCCACUGCGAGCGUUAGGAAAGCUAUUUUUUUUUUGUCGACGCGUUAGGAAAGCUAUUUUCCCAUAUUAUUCGUAUUGAUUAAAUCGAAUAAACGUAAAAAUGACGAACUUUAACACUAUUUCAAAGUUCAAAGUUAUAUGAUUUUGUCAGUGUAGUCGUGUAUUGUUUGUCUGUUCUUGUGGUCUAUACAUCGUACUUGCUUUGCUCCCAAAUAGUGUCGUCUACACAACAUACUCAUAACUAAACGCGUUUACACUGUUAAAAUACAUGCACCUGGAUAUUAGACCAAACGAAUAGUUUGAAUUUAGUCCCGAAAUCAUACCUUAUGAAACGUGUUUAUACUAUCAAGAGACAAGAGCAAGUCUUCUAUCAAGAGACUAUGCAUAAAAAUCUUGGUACUUUAUAAUCAAUCAUAUGUUAUUAUUGGUCGGAUUGCUCAGACAACACAGCUUCUAUCAUUUACACCCAGCAUAUUUCAACCUUAAGAACCUAUACAAGACCAAUUAAUAUGAACUGAAAAACAAACAUUCACUUAUACAUGUAAUAUUUUUAUAUUCCAAUAUUUUUGAGAUUUUACAGUAUCACCAGCAAAACCUACGAUUAGAAUUAAACUUCCCAAGAUCUUAUUAAUAUAACAAACAUUACAUUCAAGUUGAUUCAAUUUAUAGGGCACAAUAUUAGUGCUACAGACAAACAACACGUAACUUAU